rnacentral:rRNA from 1 species
UGGUCUGAGAGGACGACCAGCCACACUGGGACUGAGACACGGCCCAGACUCCUACGGGAGGCAGCAGUGGGGAAUUUUGGACAAUGGACGCAAGUCUGAUCCAGCCAUGCCGCGUGCGGGAAGAAGGCCUUCGGGUUGUAAACCGCUUUUGUCAGGGAAGAAAAGGCUCCUGUUAAUACCGGGGGCUCAUGACGGUACCUGAAGAAUAAGCACCGGCUAACUACGUGCCAGCAGCCGCGGUAAUACGUAGGGUGCAAGCGUUAAUCGGAAUUACUGGGCGUAAAGCGUGCGCAGGCGGUUGUGCAAGACAGGUGUGAAAUCCCCGGGCUUAACCUGGGAACUGCACUUGUGACUGCACGGCUAGAGUACGGCAGAGGGGGAUGGAAUUCCACGUGUAGCAGUGAAAUGCGUAGAUAUGUGGAGGAACACCGAUGGCGAAGGCAAUCCCCUGGGCCUGUACUGACGCUCAUGCACGAAAGCGUGGGGAGCAAACAGGAUUAGAUACCCUGGUAGUCCACGCCCUAAACGAUGUCAACUGGUUGUUGGGAGGGUUUCUUCUCAGUAACGUAGCUAACGCGUGAAGUUGACCGCCUGGGGAGUACGGGCCGCAAGGUUGAACUCAAAGGGAUUUGACGGGGACCCGCACAAGCGGUGGAUUGAUUGUGGUUUUUAUUCGAUGCUACGCGAAAAACCUUACCUACCCUUGACAUGCCAGGAAUCCUGCAGAGAUGUGGGAGUGCUCGAAAGAGAACCUGGACACAGGUGCUGCAUGGCCGUCGUCAGCUCGUGUCGUGAGAUGUUGGGUUAAGUCCCGCAACGAGCGCAACCCUUGUCAUUAGUUGCUACGAAAGGGCACUCUAAUGAGACUGCCGGUGACAAACCGGAGGAAGGUGGGGAUGACGUCAGGUCAUCAUGGCCCUUAUGGGUAGGGCUACACACGUCAUACAAUGGCCGGGACAGAGGGCUGCCAACCCGCGAGGGGGAGCUAAUCCCAGAAACCCGGUCGUAGUCCGGAUCGCAGUCUGCAACUCGACUGCGUGAAGUCGGAAUCGCUAGUAAUCGCGGAUCAGCUUGCCGCGGUGAAUACGUUCCCGGGUCUUGUACACACCGCCCGUCACACCAUGGGAGCGGGUUCUGCCAGAAGUAGUUAGCCUAACCGUCAAGGAGGGCGAUUACCACGGCAG